AAUGCUUUCCUUCCACCAAGUUUCCAGUCUGUUUAUUCAUUCUGAGAAGAGAAAUGGAGUCAACACAUGGAAUUGCUUGGAUGGACUGCACUGGAGACCAGAUUUUCAUCCAUUUCGUAUAAUUGCUCUGUGGUCACUUGAGAAGUUUUGUGCAGAAUCAGAGACAAACUUCUGCUUCCCCACCUGAUAAUUUACUUUUGAAUCUGCUGAAGAAAGUUAUGUAAAAUUCUACCAUAUGCUGGGCAAGUGAAGUAGUUUGAGGACAUCCCAAAAGAGAACACUGAAAAACAGCAGAUAAAAAACAAGGCUCUGAGGUUGAACAUACCUCUUUUCUAGUUAUACCCUAUGAAUUUAUCCUUGGUGAUUUGGAAAAAGCAUCAAGUAAACCUACCUGGAAGGCGAACAGUUGGCUGACCUAAACCAAACCACGCUCCUGGAAUGGGAAUAUUGCAG
rnacentral:lncRNA from 1 species